rnacentral:lncRNA from 10 species
CAGGAAGCUGCUGGAACCACAAGGCUGGAGGGACUAAGGCAAUAAGCAGUGCUACCAGAGCACAGAGGACCAGAUCCAAAGCUGUAACCCCACAGGACCUGAAGCAACAGAGGUGGUACAUCUGGAGAUUGUUCUGAAGACCUGAAGAUACUGCCCUCGCUGGCUGAAUAAGCGUCCACUCCCCCGUGAAACCACACAGAGUAAACAGAAGAAAACACAGCAAGAAUGAGGUCAUCUUCAAGCUAAUGAGAGGCUUUAGUAAAAACGAAACCUGCCUGCACCUUGAUAUUGGACUUCCAGCCUUCAGAUCUAUGAUAAAAUACAUUUUUGUUUGUUUGUUUAAGCCACCCAGUCUGUGUUAUUUUGUUAGGGUGAUCUUAGUCGACAAACUAGUAAUACAAACUGGUUUGGUUUGUACUGCCAUUCUCAGGAAUACACACUUUUUCUUAGAAGCAUAUGCAUUUAAUAUGGCACAUCAUCAAUGAUUCAGCUCAAGGUUAAAGUUUCAUGGAAGCUUGGAAAUUUAGAGAUAGUCCACUACUUUACAGAUGAGAAACAAAAGCCACAAAAGCAACGUGUAUAAAUCGUGUGUUUCUAAAUAUCAGGGAUUUGCGAUAGACCAAUAAUUAACACAUGUCUUUCAAACUCAUGUUCUAAAUAUCGAAAAAAUAAGGUUAAAAAAAGUAGUGGCACGUGGAUCCCAAAAUAUCAUCCCUAUUACGAUUAAAAGCUAACUAGAGAAUGUAGUUUAGUGGAAAGAAAUGGGCUUGCUAAAUGCAUCCCAGAAUUCAUGAUGAUACCUACGUUCUCAGAGCAGUGCUUGCCCAGGGCAGACACAUCCCAAUGACUCAAAGUAAUAGAGUUAGAUUUUUCUUUUGAAGGAGAAUAGAAGGCUUGCACCUUAUGUGAAUGUAAUACUGAAGAGAUGGAAAACCAAAAUAUAUGGAGUUGAGCCACCUUGACAACUUCUUAUAGUAUAAUAAAUUAUUUCAACAUGUACUGGAUUAAAACAACACUCACUUAUUUGCUCAGGAAUCGUCUUUUGGGGUGGAGUUCACUGGAGAAAAAUUACCUGGAAUCCCAAUGGCAUCAGCUAGGACUAAAACAUCCAAGAUGACUUCUUUCCUAAAAUGGAUGAAGCCUAGCAGUGAUGAUGACUGGACAGGCAUUUGACUGUCUCUAUCUACACAGCCUGUUCGUGUAUCUAGUUCUGGUUUCUUGGUACUGUGGAAGUCUCAGUUUAUUCCGACUUAUUAGCUGGUGGAUUACUUACUCCAGAGCACAAAAGCAGAAGCUGCUAAGCUUGCUUAGUACCUGGACUUUGAAGUUUCAGAAUGGUAUUUCUACUGUUUUUGUUUGUUUGUUUUAAUUACGAUAGGCAUAGAGCCAAACUAAAUGCAACUGGAGGGAAAACAGACCCCACCUCUUGUUGAGGGUGUGAUAUGAACAAACUGCAAACUAGUUUGGGAUAUGAGAGAUAAGAUUGUGGCAGGUUUUAGAAGUAUGAUCUACCAAGUGAUCCCCACAUGCCAAGUUUAUUUGUAACAAAUUACAAUCAGGUAAGUCACACUACUUUACCCUAUAUGGAAUAAGUAGUGUCAGAGAAAAGCCACAUAUGCGAAAGUAAAUGGGCUUAACCAAAUAUGACCAUAAUCCAAAUGUAGAAGGAAAAUGCAAGAGUGGAAGAGAAGAGUUUUCUCUUAAAAAUAUUGAUUUCUAGCCAGACGCAGUGGCUCACAC